CUUUCAACGGUCUUCUACUCCCAAACCAAACCACUAACUGUAAAGUCCCCCUGAAGAGGAUUGAAUAUGGAUUCAAACUUUGUAGACUGGGUCCAUUUCUGGUUUUAAUAAGCUACCAUACACAGGUUGUUCAGCGUGGGACCUGAUCCUGAAAGUUGCCGAGCACCUACCUCUGACAGUGGGAGAUCAACGUGAUCCAGUUUGCAGCCUUCCUAACCUGUGAAGAAGAGGUGGACUUGUCAAGUUUUCAAAAUGCAGUAUACUGAAAAGGUCAGAGUAGAAGAGUCUGACAGAACAUAGCUUGGAUGCCUGCCUUUGGCUGUAGCCCCAGACUCCUGAAGAAGAUGAAGACAUCCCUACGUGCCUAUAUAUGGAAAGAGGCCAACAUGGAUGCCAUCAGAAGGAUUCAACUGAGCAUAUGCUGAGAAAAUUGUGCCAUCCAUACUGCACAUGGGAAAGGGCUGACUGAACACUCCAGUAUAUUGAAGUUUAUGGCCCUGAAAAGGAAACAUAGGUUUGUGGUAAAUAUCAUUCAGGGAUAUGAGAACUGGUAUUUCCUGGCUCUGGAUCACAGUGCUUUCAACACAUUCUGUUCAUCUACCUCUGUUUCCUGCCUGACUGACUAUGUGCAAAGUGGUAUCUCUCCAGUGUUCUCACCUUCACUUAUUCCCUGAACAAGGCAAAGAACACACUAUAUAUGACCAGGACCUGAGUAUCGUAGAGGACAAUUGUUUGGGGACAAAUUUCUUUGCUGACCUAGAGAUCCAAGAACCUGAUAUCUUCCUUCACACCACAAAGGGGUCUCAAUGAGCUACUUUCUCCCGAUACCAGUAGUCUCAUUUCCUAAAGCAGUAGUACACUCCUUUGUUAUUCACAGUUGUAAUCGUGUUGAAACUGUCAAGUGUUGUCUCCACAUCUUCAAUUUUCUUCUGAAACUAAAUCCUUCACUUCUUUGUAUGCAGAGACUGCUGUGGCCUGGAUCUCAUCUAGUCUUUUAGUAACAUCUUCCAGAUUUGUUUUAAACUGAUUAGACACCACUCAAGAAUCAAAUUCUCUCCCCCGGAUAGUACAAAGCCAAGUGUUGACAGAGCUGGCUCUUGGCCAUCAGCUACGUGAUGACGCAGCACUGGAUCUUUUGACAGCCCUAAUUUUGUCUUGGGCAUUUUGAAAAGCUCACACACCCUGACAAAUUAAAAUAAACUGCAGUGUGACAGGAUGGUGCAAUUAAAAAUGAAAAAAAUGCCAGCUUGACCAGAGUGCUACUUUAAUUAAAAGACUGCUUUGUUACACUGGUUGCAUGGAAUCUACAAAACACUUACGUCCUUAUCAUGUAUGUACUUGUGGUCUCUGAAUUCUGAUUUUACAAAGGGCCAAAAUUAAGGUGUGAUGGGUGUUUAUUAUUACAGAGGUCCUGAGAUAAAUAUUGGGGAUGAAUGGAAUGAAUAUAAAAUUUACCAAAAAGCAGGCUCAAUGGUAAUUUU